rnacentral:rRNA from 1 species
AUUGAACGCUGGCGGCAGGCCUAACACAUGCAAGUCGAGCGGGGUUUUCGGACCUAGCGGCGGACGGGUGAGUAAUGCGUAGGAAGCUGCCCGAUAGAGGGGGAUACCAGUUGGAAACGACUGUUAAUACCGCAUAAUGUCUACGGACCAAAGUGUGGGACCUUCGGGCCACAUGCUAUCGGAUGCGCCUACGUGGGAUUAGCUAGUUGGUGAGGUAAUGGCUCACCAAGGCGACGAUCUCUAGCUGGUUUGAGAGGAUGAUCAGCCACACUGGAACGGGGACACGGUCCAGACUCCUACGGGAGGCAGCAGUAGGGAAUAUUGGACAAUGGGCGCAAGCCUGAUCCAGCCAUGCCGCGUGUGUGAAGAAAGCCUUCGGGUUGUAAAGCACUUUCAGCGAGGAGGAAGGGUGGUGUGUUAAUAGCACAUCAUUUUGACGUUACUCGCAGAAGAAGCACCGGCUAACUCUGUGCCAGCCGCCGCAGUAACAC